ACCUGGCUGGCUCAGUCAGUAGAGCAUGUGACUCUUGAUCUUGGGGCUGUGAGCUCAAGCCCCAUGUUGGGUG
rnacentral:tRNA from 1 species